CGGAGUUCACCGGAGGCGUUCCGAUAGAAUUCAACGGCAUAACCUCAAACACCUCCGGUUCAUCUACCAGUUCCGGCGCAUGCUCCGACAUUUUAGAUCUGGAAACCGUUACCAAAUCUGAGUACACCGGAGGCGUUUCGGCAGAAAUUAAGGACCGUGAUUGCUCGCCGGAUUGUUGUUGUUGUUCCUUACGAUUUGAUCGAGAAGUGGCGGCGAUGAUAAUGAUUAUACCGUUGAGUAAAGCGUAGAGAUACGGAGGCUUUAGCCAUGAAAUCAAACCGGACCAAAUCGUAGGAAAUUCAUAUAAAAUCAACGGAACAGAGGAUUUAAUAGCAAUGGCUGAAGAAACUGCUCCGAUUGAAAUUAACAGAAAUUUCACCGUUAACAUCAAAUUGCUCGUCGAUGAUUCCAUUUUCUCCGAUUUCGUUUGAUAUUUCUAAGCUUUUUUUUACAGAUG
rnacentral:misc_RNA from 1 species